UACGGGGGGGGUAAGCGUUGUUCGGAAUCACUGGGCGUAAAGGGCGCGUAGGCGGGAUGGCAAGUCAGUCGUGAAAUCUCUCGGCUCAACCGAGAAACGUCGGCUGAUACUGCCAUUCUUGAGGGAUGCAGAGGAGACUGGAAUUCCCGGUGUAGCGGUGAAAUGUGUAGAGAUCGGGAGGAACACCGGUGGCGAAGGCGGGUCUCUGGGCAUUUCCUGACGCUGAGGCGCGACAGCGUGGGGAGCAAACAGG
rnacentral:rRNA from 1 species